GAGGGAAUCAAGUAGUAGAAGUGGACAGAACAUCUUCAUUGCUCUCCAAAUUUGGGCCAAGAUGCAUUUUAGGGUAAUGUCAGCUCAGUUAAUUCUACAUAUACCUAAGGAGGGAAAAAAAAUCCACUGCCCCAAGAAGUUAUGUUACCCAGCACCGUCACAGUCCUACAUCAUUAAUGUUAAAGCCAGACACUGCAAAAAAUACUUCUGAAAAAAAGGACUGCAAUGGGAAACAGCCUAUCAGGAAGCUCUUCAGAACUUCUCAGACCCUGAGCUAAAACCUGGAGAAGUGACAGC
rnacentral:lncRNA from 1 species